rnacentral:rRNA from 1 species
GGGUUGUGAGGUUAAGCGACUAAGCGUACACGGUGGAUGCCCUGGCAGUCAGAGGCGAUGAAGGGCGUGCUAAUCUGCGAUAAGCGCCGGUAAGGUGAUAUGAACCGUUAUAACCGGCGAUACCCGAAUGGGGAAACCCAGUGUGACUCGUCACACUAUCAUUAACUGAAUCCAUAGGUUAAUGAGGCGAACCGGGGGAACUGAAACAUCUAAGUACCCCGAGGAAAAGAAAUCAACCGAGAUUCCCCCAGUAGCGGCGAGCGAACGGGGAGGAGCCCAGAGCCUGAAUCAGCAUGUGUGUUAGUGGAAGCGUCUGGAAAGGCGCGCGAUACAGGGCGACAGCCCCGUACACAAAAGCGCAUGUGCUGUGAGCUCGAUGAGUAGGGCGGGACACGUGGUAUCCUGUCUGAAUAUGGGGGGACCAUCCUCCAAGGCUAAAUACUCCUGACUGACCGAUAGUGAACCAGUACCGUGAGGGAAAGGCGAAAAGAACCCCGGCGAGGGGAGUGAAAAAGAACCUGAAACCGUGUACGUACAAGCAGUGGGAGCCCCACCACCAAAGCAUUAUCUGGUGUUGAAGGCCCUGCAAAGCAGCAUCGCGGUGGCGGAGCGUCGUUUGCGACGCCCAACACACAAAACAAGCGGUGAAUGCUUUG